rnacentral:rRNA from 1 species
UACGUAGGGCGCAAGCGUUGUCCGGAAUUAUUGGGCGUAAAGAGCUCGUAGGCGGCUUGUCACGUCGGGUGUGAAAGCCCGGGGCUUAACCCCGGGUCUGCAUUCGAUACGGGCUAGCUAGAGUGUGGUAGGGGAGAUCGGAAUUCCUGGUGUAGCGGUGAAAUGCGCAGAUAUCAGGAAGAACACCCGUGGCGAAGGCGGCUUUCUGGGACGGUACUGACGCUGAGACGCGAAAGCUAGGGAGCAAACGGG